rnacentral:lncRNA from 1 species
ACUACAGUGCCCUGCAGGUUCAUUGAUGGGACAUCCAUCAUCAAGUUCUUAUGUCUUUAGCCACCCAGGUAAGCUCGCACAAACUUCUGCUACAAUUCAAGGUAAUUCUCAAACACAUCUGUAUAUAUGUAACAACAUCGAUCUUCAAAUUACAUUUAGGAGAUGAUGAUACUACCCAGCACAUGGAACUCACAUCGGUGCAAUGUCCAACAUCUACAUCAGUGGACAAUCCAUCAUCACCCCAUGAUGGUUUCGUAUAUUCAGAUUCCCCAAUAGAAAGCUUUGUCGCCG